AAAAUCCCGACUUACGGAGGGAUGUAUUUAUUAGAUUAAAAACCAAUGCCCUUCGGGGCUCUCUGGUGAUUCAUAAUAACUUCUCGAAUCGCAUGGCCUUGAGCUGGCGAUGGUUCAUUCAAAUUUCUGCCCUAUCAACUUUCGAUGGCAGGGUCUUGGCCUGCCAUGGUUACAACGGGUAACGGAGGGUUAGGGCUCGACCCCGGAGAAGGAGCCUGAGAAACGGCUACUACAUCCAAGGAAGGCAGCAGGCGCGCAAAUUACCCAAUUCCGAUACGGAGAGGUAGUGACGAUAAAUACUGAUACAGGGCUCUUUUGGGUCUUGUAAUUGGAAUGAGUACAAUUUAAAUCCCUUAACGAGGAACAAUUGGAGGGCAAGUCUGGUGCCAGCAGCCGCGGUAAUUCCAGCUCCAAUAGCGUAUAUUAAAGUUGUUGCAGUUAAAAAGCUCGUAGUUGAACCUUGGGCCUGGCUGGCUGGUCCGCCUCACCGCGUGUACUGGUUCGGCCGGGCCUUUCCCUCUGGGGAACCUCAUGCCCUUCACUGGGUGUGCUGGGGAACCAGGACUUUUACUGUGAAAAAAUUAGAGUGUUCAAAGCAGGCCUAUGCUCGAAUACAUCAGCAUGGAAUAAUAGAAUAGGACGUGCGGUUCUAUUUUGUUGGUUUCUAGGACCGCCGUAAUGAUUAAUAGGGACAGUCGGGGGCAUCAGUAUUCAAUUGUCAGAGGUGAAAUUCUUGGAUUUAUUGAAGACUAACUACUGCGAAAGCAUUUGCCAAGGAUGUUUUCAUUAAUCAGGAACGAAAGUUAGGGGAUCGAAGACGAUCAGAUACCGUCGUAGUCUUAACCAUAAACUAUGCCGACUAGGGAUCGGACGAUGUUAUUUUUUGACUCGUUCGGCACCUUACGAGAAAUCAAAGUUUUUGGGUUCUGGGGGGAGUAUGGUCGCAAGGCUGAAACUUAAAGAAAUUGACGGAAGGGCACCACCAGGGGUUAACGCAGCUGUUACUACACGCAGUCUCUGCCCUGAAUAGUGAGUCGACUCUCUGUAGUCGACGCGGUGGUGCCCUAUAGCUCGCUAGUCGGUUACCCUGUGAUAGGGCCCGGCGACACCCUUAAAUUGCGGGGACCUCCUGUUAAAAGGGUCUGCUCCCAAGUACUGCCUAGAAAUAGAGCGUAUGGCGAAGCCUAACCAGCUUCGGUAGGGGAAGAACGCAGGCCCUGGGACGAUCCGCAGCCAAGCCUCCGUAGCCACGUGCCGGAGAAGGUUCAGAGACUUGAUAGGGGUGGGCUACGGGGGAGUACCGCUAUAACGGCAGUGCUCCUCGCAGCCUAAGAUAAAGUCCAUCGGCGUACGAAAGUACCGCCUAGCAACGCUCUAUAGGGAGCCUGCGGCUUAAUUUGACUCAACACGGGGAAACUCACCAGGUCCAGACACAAUGAGGAUUGACAGAUUGAGAGCUCUUUCUUGAUUUUGUGGGUGGUGGUGCAUGGCCGUUCUUAGUUGGUGG
rnacentral:rRNA from 1 species